GACGAAGGUGGCAAGCGUUGUUCGGAAUCACUGGGCUUAAAGCGUACGUAGGCGGCCCGUCAAGUGCCUUGUGAAAUCCCCCGGCUCAACCGGGGAAUUGCUUGGUAGACUGACAGGCUUGAGGCAGGUAGGGGUAAGUGGAACUCUUGGUGGAGCGGUGAAAUGCGUAGAUAUCAAGAGGAACGCCGGUGGCGAAGGCGACUUACUGGGCCUGUCCUGACGCUGAGGUACGAAAGCCAGGGGAGCAAACGGG
rnacentral:rRNA from 1 species